ACGAACCAUCCUGUUGAUUGAAGCUUGCUUCUUGAUUCAGAUUUUGGUGAGUGGCGGACGGGUGAGUAACACGUGGGUAACCUGCCCAAAAGUGGGGGAUAACAUUUGGAAACAAGUGCUAAUACCGCAUAACAACUGCUUUCACAUGAUCGCAGCUUGAAAGAUGGCUCUGCUAUCGCUUUUGGAUGGACCCGCGGCGUAUUAGCUAGUUGGUGAGGUAAUAGCUCACCAAGGCAAUGAUACGUAGCCGACCUGAGAGGGUAAUCGGCCACAUUGGGACUGAGACACGGCCCAAACUCCUACGGGAGGCAGCAGUAGGGAAUCUUCCACAAUGGGCGAAAGCCUGAUGGAGCAAUGCCGCGUGAGUGAAGAAGGUUUUCGGAUCGUAAAACUCUGUUGUUGAAGAAGAACAUGCGUGAGAGUAACUGUUCACGUACUGACGGUAUUCAACCAGAAAGCCACGGCUAACUACGUGCCAGCAGCCGCGGUAAUACGUAGGUGGCAAGCGUUGUCCGGAUUUAUUGGGCGUAAAGAGAAUGUAGGCGGUUUAUUAAGUUUGAAGUGAAAGCCCUCGGCUCAACCGAGGAAGUGCUUCGAAAACUGGUAAAC
rnacentral:rRNA from 1 species